AUUGAACGCUGGCGGCAGGCCUAACACAUGCAAGUCGAGCGAGCGGCGGACGGGUGAGUAAUGUCUGGGAAACUUCCUGUUCGCGGGGGAUAACUCCUGGAAACGUUAGCUAAUACCGCAUACCAUCAGAUGUGCUCAGGUGGGAUUAGCUAGUAGGUGGGGUAACGGCGCACCUAGGCGACGAUCCCUAGCUGGCCUGAGAGGAUGGACAGCCACACUGGAACUGAGACACGGUCCAGACGCCUACGGGAGGCAGCAGGGGGGAAUAUGGGACAACGGGCGCAAGCCUGAUGCAGCCAUGCGGCGUGUGUGAAGAAGGCCUGCGGGUUGUAAAGAACUUUCAGCGGGGAGGCGGUACCCGCAGAAGAAGCACCGGCUAACUCCGUGCCAGCAGCCGCGGUAAUAC
rnacentral:rRNA from 1 species